GUAGUGGAGCGACCCGACAUGAAACCGAACUGGUUCACAGAUAUAGAUGUCAUAUCCCUCACCCUCGCCUCAAUCACCCGCUCCCAAACCUUCAUGGUGUGACUUAUUAAUUUGAUACCCCUAUAGUUGUUGCAGCACUGGAUGUCAGAUAUAGAUGUCAUAUCCCUCACCCUCGCCUCGAUCACCCGCUCCCAGUCCUUCAUGGUGUGACUUAUUAAUUUGAUACCCCUAUUGUUGUUGCAUCAGUGAAUAUCCCAUUUGCC
rnacentral:lncRNA from 1 species